rnacentral:piRNA from 1 species
UAGGGAUCAGAUACCCUGAAGGGGAAAUGGC